rnacentral:rRNA from 1 species
AUUGAACGCUGGCGGCAGGCCUAACACAUGCAAGUCGAACGAGUGGCGGACGGGUGAGUAAUGUCUGGGAAACUGCCUGAUGGAGGGGGAUAACUAUUGGAAACGGUAGCUAAUACCGCAUACCAUCGGAUGUGCCCCGAUGGGCUUAGCUAGUUGGUGGGGUAACGGCACACCUAGGCGACGAUCCCUAGCUGGUCUGAGAGGAGGACCAGCCACACUGGAACUGGGACACGGUACAGACUCCUACGGGAGGCAGCAGAGGGGAAUAUGGCACAGUGGGCGGGAGGAUGGUGCAGCGAUGCGGCGUGUAGGAAGAGGGCCUUGGGGUUGUAAAGUACUUUCAGCGGGGAGGCGUUACCAGCAGAAGAAGCACCGGCUAACUCCGUGCCAGCCGCGGUAAUUC